GAAAAAAAAUUGAUAACCAAUUCACCAGUAUUGAAGCAGACUGAUAUCUAGUCUUCCAGAAUUAAAUGAUUUCUUGAAAUAGUUUGGCAUUAUGGAAUAAUGAAUGAUGCAAAACCGAUAAAUUUUAGAAUGUGGUUUUCUUUUCCAUGUGGUUUUUAACUGAUGUUUAUUAUAAUCCUAUAAAUGAAUUAUGAUGUUUUGAUCUAGGUUGUAUGUAUUAAGUCAUUUUCUGCAUAGCUUUUCUGGUUUGUUUUGCUGUAUCUUCCAUAUUUGAAUCUGAGACAGAGUUAAUUGGGGCCCUCACUGAACUUAUGGAUGAAUAACGUGUAAUCUUGUAACCAAACUAACUUCAAAAAGCUUGGUCUGAGUAUCUAGUUAUCUAACGGCUGAUUUAAAAAUAAUGGAAAUAGAUCAGAAAUAGUUAUUUUUACUGUGCUGUAAUGACUAUUAAUAAAGCCAACAAAUUUAAGUGAACCACAAAAUGAUCAAUUUAAUGCUAACAUUAAGAGACCACCUGGAACUACCUUUUAUAGUUUUGAAGUAAAAUUUUAAAUCACACGAAGCACUUAAUUUUAUUCUUUUCACUCAGGGAGCUAACAGAAUGAGAGGUCGGCUUGGAAGUGUGGACAGUUUUGAACGGUCCAACAGUCUUGCUUCAGAGAAGGACUACUCACCAGGGGAUUCUCCACCAGGGACACCGCCAGCGUCCCCACCGUCCUCAGCUUGGCAAACGUUUCCCGAAGAGGAUUCCGACUCCCCGCAGUUUCGAAGACGGGCACACACGUUCAGCCACCCACCUUCAAGCACAAAGAGAAAGCUGAAUUUGCAGGAUGGGAGGGCUCAGGGUGUGCGUUCCCCUCUGCUGAGGCAGAGCUCCAGUGAACAGUGCAGGUGAGUCUGACCCUCUCCAGAAUGAGACCUAGAUUCUCAAGGCACACAGUUUUGAUUACUCUGGAGUCAAGGUGGAUUGUGAAUUUAUGCUGUAGCCAACUUUUAGUUUUGAGAAACACCAUAAAAACAAAUUAAGUUACCUCAUUUACUAGGCGAAACAGGCAAGGUUAAGGCAUACACAAAAAGAAGAGUUAAUUCGUUUGGGUGGAAACUCUUUUGUUUUUCCUUUCAGAAAAAUAGAAAAAACAAGAUAACCAUGCAGUUGUUUUGUCUGAAAACCUGCUGAUAACACGUUACGCAGUGUCUUGAUGAUGAUUCUAGAGAAACAAAGUCAGCAGAUUUGAAAAUAACAUAGCAUUAGAACUUCCUGUUAGCUUAUGAUAAAAUACCAGGGUUUUAAAAGUCACCUAAGUUACUUUCAUACAUGAGAUAAUAUUUGGCUAUAUUUUGUUACAUAAUAAAUUAAAGCUGAAUAUGAAAAUUGUUAUAAAUUGUAUCUAGAAUAAGGUGAUAUGUAUAAAGAAGAGUAUAUAUACCAUAAUUGACAGGCAGUGUCCACUUAGAAAAGAUCUUACACAGUAUUUAAAACAUAAUUUAACAAAAAGUUGCUUGAUAUUUGGUGAGAAACAGUAAAGAGGAUAAACUUGGAAUGAUUUUCUUCUUUCUGUGUAACACAGAUCAAAUUUAUAUCUUAGAACUCAUUUUGUUUCUCUUCUUUACCUAUGAAUUUGUUACGGAAAAUAGGGUUAAGUAAAGAUGCUCGUUGGAGAG
rnacentral:lncRNA from 1 species